UACCAGCACCCCGAGUGGUCGGGACGAUUAUUGGGCCUAAAGCAUCCGUAGCCGGUUCUGCAAGUCCCCCGUUAAAUCCACCUGCUCAACAGAUGGGCUGCGGGAGAUACUAUAGAGCUAGGAGGCGGGAGAGGCAAGCGGUACUCGAUGGGUAGGGGUAAAAUCCGUUGAUCCAUUGAAGACCACCAGUGGCGAAGGCGGCUUGCCAGAACGCGCUCGACGGUGAGGGAUGAAAGCUGGGGGAGCAAACCGG
rnacentral:rRNA from 1 species